UACCUAACCCUCUUAAUUUAUAGCUUUUCCCAAAAAGUGCAACUUAAACUUAGCAUUAACAAAUAAUAAUUAAGUAUAAAAUUUUGUAUCAAGUUAUUUUAUAAUUAAUUUAAUUAAUUAUAAUGUAUUUUAGUAAAAUAAAUUUCUGAAAUAUAGUUUAAAAUAAGAAAAAUCACAAUCUUAAUAGAUAAAAGGCACUAAUAACAAUUCAAGGCAUAAUUUUAACUCAAACUAACAACAUUGUGAGCUUUAGUCAACAAAUACAGAAAAAGAAAAGCUAAAAACAGCAAAUAAUAAAAACAAGGGAAAAUUACUUUUUAGUCUAUCAGGUAUGUGUCCCUCUAUUUUUAGCAUCGAACACUUUAGUCUUUGAGGUUUUGUUAAAUCCAAAUUAGAGAUCUUUCUGUUAAAAAUACUGGAAAAAUGACCAGAUUACCGCCUUUAUUUCUCAUUAUACUUGUAUUGAAUUUGAGAAGUAAGAAUUUGAGGAUCCUACCUCCUAAAUUUGAACCAUAAGCAUCAAAAUUCUGAUUUUCAAAAUGGUUUUUAAAAUUAAAUUCAACAAUGCCCUGAUUGCAAAACCUUCAAUAAUCAAACUCAAUAAAAAAUCUCUUUCAGAUAAACUAUCAAAUACCUCCUUUGCAUUUGGUGAAUGUGAUUCCACCUUUUUGAGUCGUGAACUUAUGAAAUUUGAGCUGUCUGUUUUUUUUUUCUUCUCAUUCUCAAACUUUUGCUGUAAGAGUUUGAUUUGAACCACUAGGAUAAUUUCUUCUUUGGUGAUGCUGUAAGGAGUGAAAAUAUCGAGCAAGGAAAAUUAAUCGGGAUCUUUUGAUUUUUUUUCCUCAAUGGCUAUUCCACUAGUUUAACUGAGUUUGUUCUCCUCUCUGUUAUUGUGUUUCCAGUCCUUUUAUUCUCCUUGCAUUCAAAGACCCAUCAUGUUGAGUACUCAGCUGCAUCUCCUCUUAAACCUUUAAUUACAGCCCAUAUUACUCAUUAUAGCUCUCAACAUUGAUGACCCAUUUUAAGGAACUCCCUCAUAAACCCAUUUCUCCUCUCCUUCAUCACAGCCAUCUCCCAUCUCAAUUGAAUCUUGCCUUCUCCAAAACUGAACCAAAUAUAUGUUUCUUAUUUCACAAAAAGCCACGUCCUUAGAGUGGUUGCAAGUCAACUACCUCGCCACAACUUACGCUAUAUCACCAAGUACAAUUACCGAAAAAACCCACAGUUGAUGAUCAAGAAACCACCGGUAAGGAAGAUAAGCUCACUCAUCGAUAAGGAAGACCCAUCAGUGGUAUAGGUUGUUGGAUUUGGAAUUGGUUUCAAUCUCUUCAAUAAAUCUCUUUGAUUGUGUGGAUUAUUGGAUUGGGAACUGGUGUGAAUGUCUGGUUUUGGAAAUUGAAUGAAUGAGAAUGAGACGAGUGAAAGAGAGUGAGAGAGAGGAGGAGAAUUUUAGGGAUUUGAUGGUAUAUUUGGGAUUAAAUUUUAUUUUUUUCUUUUUAUUAAAUUUAUAUAUUUAUUUAACAGAUUCUUUUGAUAGAAGGAUGUAAUUUGGACGGAAUAAAACCUCAGGGACUAAAGUGUACGAUGCUAAAAAUAAAGGGACAUAUCUUGAGGGACUAAAAAUUAAUUUUCCUAAAAAUAAAAGCAAAAGCCAAAAAAAUAAACUUGCAUUUUAGAAGAAAGAACUAUGAAGUAGAGGUAGUUUAUAAUGAAUCUGAGCUUAUAGGAUUAGGAAGAAAUAUGUAGGAAGAAUGAGUUAUCUGAGUGAAAAAAGAGGAGAGAUUUUGGAAAAAAAAAAAAAAAAAAAGAAAGAAAGAAAGAAAGAAAGAAAGAGGUGGUCUGGAGCUUGUGGGAAUGCUUAAUGCAUUUCCUUCUUCUAUUUGGCAUGUGAUUUAAGGGGAUGUAUUAUUGGUAACUGCUGUUACCGUAAUGUAACAGCCGUUGGACCUACAGAUUUUUGGGGGGCCUAUAAAUAACCGGGCAACGAAAAACAGCCCCCUGAAAUCCCAUUACAUGAUGGUUGUUAUUUGGUGUCCACAACUCCUCUAGAUAGUUUAUUUCUUUAUCCUUUAUUGCUCUUGUUUUACACACUGCUUGGUUCAACUCCAAUUGAAUUUCAUAUUUUAUAUACUCCUUUGUCCCACAAAUAUAGGCCUAUAGUUAUUUUCACAUGGAUUAGGAAAAUGUAGUUAAUGUAGUUAAAGUAAUAAUUCUAUAUUGUUUCUUUCUAAUAUACCUCUAUUCAUUUUACUUCAUUACUAAAUUAUUCUUAGAACUAAUAUAUUUUACUUUUUCAAUGUAUAUUAAAUAAAACUAUAUUAGGAAGUUAAUAACUAAAUUACCAUCUCAAAAAGGAAAGUAACCUUUAAUGUGGGAUGGAUAAAAAGGGGAAGCAAGACUAUCUUUAUGGAACAAAGAGAGUAUUUGGUUUUAAUAAAAAUUAGAAUUCAAUUUUAGGAAUUUAAUUCUAUGAAUAACUAACACCAAUUCGAUCAAUGAAAAUUCAACAAAUUUUUAUAACAAUAUUUGUUGGACUAAAAUUCUUAUAUGUAAAAAAAAAUCCCAAUCAUCUAUCUUCUUAUAUUUAUUAAUUACAUAACUAAGUAAAAUUUAUUAUUUUUGUCCUAAUAUUGUAAUAUUUAAGCUUAUGUUGCAUUUACUGGUGACAUUUCUUAUGUUAUAUAAAUCUCCUAUUUUAUGAGACAUGUGACUUUAUAUUGUUUAAUGGGUUUAUACUUUUUUUAAAUGUUGUAAAUAUAUUAGUAUAUAUUUUUAUAAAAGUAGAAAAUUAUAUAUAUAUAUAUUUAUAAAUUUUACUGAUAGUUUAGGAAAUGAGAGCACAUGAAUUUCAAUUAUGAAAGUAUACCAAACAUGAAUUAAUUAUAUGAAAUUUAAUUGAAAUUUUAAGUUGUGUCAUGCAAAAUAGCGGAAUUCGUUUUAAAUUAAAUAAUUCUAGCUAGAAUUUUAAUUGAAUUCCAGAAAAUUUUGUGGAAUGAAAUUAAACCAAACACUACAUCAGUGAGGCCCGAACUCUGUUUCCAUGUGUUUUGCAGGCAGAGACAAGAUGAUAAGUGGGAGCAUGAUCUCUAUGAGGAGGAUGAACCAAAUGCUUCAAGUAUGGAUUGACUGUGACAAAAUCACAUCCAACUAAAAUUGCUGCUAUUGUUGGAUGCAACUAAACAACUAUAUUUGCUUUUUGACUUUUUGUUAAUGGCUUGUGAAGAUCGCAAAGUCAGUUCUCAAGAUCUUCGACUGAAGCUUCAGAAAAAGAGUCUUCCACAACAAUCAUCACAAAGUGGAAAGGGGUCUGGUGUGCGGGAUUUACGUGAAAAGCUAUCUGGGACUAUGAAUUCACAACCGGUGAAUGCUGAUCCACCUAAGAGAAACUUGGAAGUUGCCAAACCAGCUAGGAAAAGUGUCACAGUUGAAGCUCCUGAGCCAGAGAUUAAAAAGGUUGCUAGUGUAGCGCUUAAAACAAAGUCUCAGCAGAAGGCAUGUAUUUACUUUUUCUUCCUCCAAUUUUUGAUGAGAAGCUACGUUAGUUAUGCAUUUUCUAUUUUGUUCACAUGAUGUGCUGCCUUAAUCAAAAGGCCUGUUAGAAGGACAGUUCUCUUGAUGGUUGUCUCAUGAUAUUGUAUAUUCAGUAAAUUUUCUUUAUGUACAAUGAAUUUUGACCUGACAAAUAUGAAUGUGGGAGCGUGCCUGGAUUUUGAAAAUGACAUUACAGAGGAGCAAAACUCCGGAUUGGACAUGUGACUUUUAAGAUAACAAAAGAAAAAAUGGGAAACCCUGCUUAGUUAAUGUUUUAUGUGAAAAAGAGAUUACUUCAAAGCUGUGACUUGUGAGUCUAGCAGGUAGUGAACUAUUAUUUUUGAAAAGCAUGGCAAGCAUUUGUAAUAAAGUUGAAGGUUGUUUACAGAUUUGCAAUUCAUCUACUUCAUCAAAAAUAGAUGAACAAAGGUUAUCAUGGAAAUGCAGUUUUAUUAUUACUUGAUACAUUUAAUUUUUCUUAUGUGUUAGCAAUUCUUUCAUGCUGGCUUUACUCUAGAGGAGUU
rnacentral:lncRNA from 1 species